CCUCCUCCCUUUUCCAAUCGGCAACCACCACCUACUAUCCCCACCCACUAUGGCUCUUCCUCGAUCCCUAAUUUCCAUCCAUUUCCCCCACUUGCCACCCUCCAUCUCCUCUCAUUUCCAACUCGCAACUCCCACUCGUCGGUGCAGCCUUCUCUCUUUUCCAUCCGUCACCAUCCGUUGUUGCCCCCAAUCGACAUCGCCACCACCUGCCGCCACACCCAACCGACAUCACCAUCACUCGCUGCC
rnacentral:lncRNA from 1 species